rnacentral:lncRNA from 1 species
GUGGGAGGGGUGUAGAAGGCCUGCUUGCUCUCUGCGUCCCCACGCAGCCACAGCCAGCACAGGGCCACGUCCUCACUCGUCUCUGGGAACAAUGCCUUCUCCAUCCCUUUAGAAGAGAGAUCUGUGCAGCUGGUGGAAAGCUUAAACACCUCCCGACAUCCUCAGCACGGAGCAUUCUUGAGGCUGUAAAAGAAUGAGGGGAACCUACGCGCAGGUGGGAUCAGGGAAGGGCUCUGGGCAGGUUAAGGAUGCCGAGGGUCUGGUCUCCCAGAACAAAGGAAUAUUUAACCAGUAAUAAAUCCCCACCACUUAGAAGAGCCUGCUGCUUUGAGACUCGGUGUUUUCCAAGGCUUUAAGAGCCCCAGGACCAAUUCUUGGUUAAGGCUUGAGCUUAAAUUUGGGGGCUCCCCACCCACCCAGAAAUCUCCUCAGGGAAAGAAACUCUCUGGAGUACUGAGCAGUCAGGCUUGGAGGGAGGGAUGGCCUGGGGGGGGGGGGGGGGUGGGGGUGGGGGGUGG